AUUGAACGCUGGCGGCAGGCUUAACACAUGCAAGUCGAACGAGUGGCGGACGGGUGAGUAAUGCUUGGGAAUCUAGCUUAUGGAGGGGGAUAACUACGGGAAACUGUAGCUAAUACCGCGUACCAUAGGAUGAGCCCAAGUGGGCUUAGGUAGUUGGUGAGGUAAAGGCUCACCAAGCCGACGAUCUCUAGCCGGUCUGAGAGGAUGACCGGCCACACUGGGACUGAGAAACGGCCCGGACUCCUACGGGAGGCAGCAGUGGGGAAUAUUGCGCAAUGGGGGCAACCUGACGCAGCAAUGCGGCGGUAUUGAGGAAGGCCUUCGGGUUGAAAAGUUCUUUCGGUAGCGAGGCGUUAACUACAGAAGAAGCACCGGCUAACUCCGUGCCAGCAGCCGCGGUAAUAC
rnacentral:rRNA from 1 species